GGAUAUUUCUUUUCACCAAUACUAAUUUUUGCAUAUUUUCAUGUUAAGCAUGAUUGUAUUGGGGUUUGUGAAACAAGACGUGUUCUUUAUUUUUAGCGUGCUUAUGAGAAAGCAGCUAGCUGCAUAGCCUGGUCGGUCUGCUUUUAUCCCGCCUAGCUCCACCAAUCCUCAGGCACAUUUCAUAUUUUCUAGGUGAGUGAAUAUCAAACAACGGCAGGAAACGGAAUUUGCAGGCAGAAUUUGUGAGGAUCACCACUUCUCCCCUUGUCUCAAAGUUCUUUGAACAACUUGACCAACACACUGCCCAGCUCAAUGAAGUGCUGAAGAAGAAAGGAGGCUCUGCAGGAAGGAAGAUUAGCCUAAUUUUGGCCCCAUAUUGCACAGUGUGAAACAGUUCAAAAGAGGACGGAGUGCAUCCUCAAGGCACUUUGUGUCUACCUCAAUGAAGACCCCAGCAUCCUCUUCAAACAAUAUCUGGACUCUGAUGGUGCAGCUGUUCAGAGGGAGCUGGAGCAACUUACCUUUGGCAUCUACAGCAUCAGUGUUGAGGGAGGUGAUGCCACUGCUCCUCCAGCUGAUGUUGGCAUAGUGAUCGAGGGUGUUGAUGUUCUGCAUGUGCACUCUUUAUGGGUGUAACAUAUGCAGUGAACCUCAGUUAUCCCAAGGAACUGAAAGCCUUCUUUGAAGUACUUCAGAAGCUCCUCCUCCAACUUGAUGCAUGCAGACUCUCAUCCAAGGUACAGAUGCUCAAGAACAAACUGUGUAAAUGAUCCAACUGUUGUUCGGAUGCUGAAAAUUGUUUGGGCUUUGGUGAGCGAACUGACAUGUAUGUUUAAAUCUGAAUCUGCAAAAAACAGCCAUACACAUUUUUUAAAUUCAUUUAUUUUUUUUAACAUAGGGUUCAGAUAUGUUUUUUAUAUUAAUUCAUUUACAUGGUUGAAAUAUUAUUUUCUGGCAGAUAAACAUAGAGGAGUAUAUUUUGCAGUAUGAGGAGUAUAAUUGGCAUAAUUCAUACAAAAGUAAUGAGAUUUGACCAUUUGUAACAACUUCAGGUAAAAACCAAGCCCACUUUCAAGUUUAGUUAAACCAGUUCUGGGUUGUUCAUGCCCACCUAUUACAUCAACACAUUUUACAAUUAGAAGAAAAAUAGGUAGAAUAUUUUCAGCAAGGUGUUUGUUAUUUGGUUAGACCAUUAUGCUGUCAUGAAAAUUUGAAAGCUGCAAACAUCGAUUUGUUAUUGCAUUGGUAGUUUACAGCUGCUAGUGAUGGUGCAAGCUAUACCAAUGUUGCUGCCUGACAGUAUGGUUAACAGUUCAUUAUGUUAUUGUUCUGUUUUUCCUUGAACCAACUGCACCAGAAUUUUAACUGCCAUGUUAAGAUUGAUAAUAAAUGAAAUGUGAAAAAUA